UCAACUGUCCCCGAAACGUUAGGGAUUCACCUACACCCACUAUGCUAGAUUUGUCACCCACAAGCGACAUGUAUUUCGGCGUUUGUUAACCAUUCAGAGCGACAUGCAGAAGUGGGGAUGAUCAUGUGAAAGUUGGAUAUAGGCUAUAAAUAACCCCAUUUUAUUUGCCUGUACAUUCAUUCAAAAGCUGUUGAACUUACUCUUUAUAAAAGGCUAUUGUACUAUUGCUGGGCAAUCUCUCUUUAUUUUGUAAGCAUUGUGGCUCAUGGAAAAGAUCAAAAAGAUCAUUCUUAUCAUUUAUUUAUUUACUUUUAUUACUUUAUUUACAACUUUGUUAGCUUAAUUAUAUGAAUCAUUCGAUUAAAAUUUGAUUCGAACCAAUUGCUAGUGACCUCAUUAAAAAUAAAUUUAAUUAAUUAUUCCUCAAACUAUUUUUGAGUUAUGCAAUUUUGUGCCUACCGUGGGACCCUAGAAGUUGAGAAUUUGACUUAGAGUUCUUAUUCUCAUUAUGAGAUUUAUCUUUUACUUAUCUGUCAAUUUCCUUUCCAUUUUGUGACUCAGAAUGACUGAAAAGAACAUUCAGCCAAUAGAUUAGAGCAAAGCCACAGAACCCAGUGGAUAUCCAGGAGACUCCAUGCCCCUCAAGUGAAAACAGGUCUUGCAUAUGGGCAAAGAGCUAGGUCCCAGAUAGUAAGGAGGUCGUACCCAGAAAAAAGGCACUACUUGGAAUGGAUGCGUCACAAUCCAAAUAUGCGCCCUCUCACAUGGACUUUCCAACCCACAACUUCACCGAAUAGAGUGGCGAAACCUUGAAAUUCGACAUGGCUCAAUAACGGAGAUUGAACGCCAAAAUGGGCAUGAUGUUUGAUGCAUUGGGGAAGUAACAACUAUAACGACACUCCAACCCCGCUGAUAGAAGUGACUCAGGUCAAACACAUCCCUAAUUCAUUACUCAAGGCUUUGGGGUUUCCCGAUAAUUCCGUGGCUAGAGGGUCAGGUAUGUCUAAAAUGCUGAGUUACAUAUUUUAAUACUAACCUUGUGUCACACCUCUUUUUUACACACCUGAAGGUAUAUAAAGAAGUUUUUUCAAUUUAAGUGA
rnacentral:lncRNA from 1 species